GCCCUAGUAGCUCAAUGUAAGAGCACCGGUCUUGUAAUCCGGGGGCCGGAGGUUGAAUUCCCCCCUAGCGCU
rnacentral:tRNA from 1 species